rnacentral:tRNA from 1 species
GAUACUACGCCGGCUGAACGGACUACAUUGAUGUUGUAAAUUACAAGAAUAACCUCUUUAGUAUCU